ACGUGAUAGUGUUCUCUUUCUUCCUGUGGCCCAAUUCUGAAAUCCCCCAGACUCGGGGCCUCCCAGUGCUAGGCAGCUGGCAGUUUCUCCAGCACUGACUUGGCAUCUUACCCCCUUCACACAAAGCAGAUAUUGUUGAAGGAAGCAACCAUCCUGUGGUCUCUUGGCAUCACCCCCUGCCCGGCAUGCAUGUGGGAGAAGGAGCGUCUCACUGAGAAGAGAUUCUAUCUUAUUCCUGAAACCUGCUUGCUCAGGGGUGGAGCUUCCCGCUCAAUCGUUCUGCCACGCCCACUGCUGGAACCUGCUGCUUUGCUGUUUGGAGCCAUACACGUGGUCACCCUGAUACUGGACUCCGAGAUUAUUUGGUGGGAAUCGGGCCCCUCCACCUUCCUUCAUAACUGAGUGUCGCAACAGUAAAAUUGAGCUUUGAUCAGAA
rnacentral:lncRNA from 1 species